rnacentral:rRNA from 1 species
UACCAGCACCCCGAGUGGUCAGGACGUUUAUUGGGCCUAAAGCAUCCGUAGCCGGCUUUGCAAGUCUUCGGUUAAAUCCACCUGCUCAACAGAUGGGCCGCUGGAGAUACUACAAAGCUAGGGAGUGGGAGAGGCAGACGGUAUUCAGUGGGUAGGGGUAAAAUCCUCUGAUCCAUUGAGGACCACCAGUGGCGAAGGCGGUCUGCCAGAACACGUUCGACGGUGAGGGAUGAAAGCUGGGGGAGCAAACCGG